CCUACGGGGGGCAGCAGUGAGGAAUAUUGGUCAAUGGUCGGGAGACUGAACCAGCCAAGCCGCGUGAGGGAUGAAGGUACAGAGUAUCGUAAACCUCUUUUGUCAGGGAACAAAGGCGGGGACGCGUCCCCGGAUGAGUGUACCUAAAGCAAAAGCAUCGGCUAACUCCGUGCCAGCAGCCGCGGUAAUACGGAGGAUGCGAGCGUUAUCCGGAUUUAUUGGGUUUAAAGGGUGCGCGGGCGGUGUGUUAAGUAAGCGGUAAAAGCCCGGGGCUCAACCCCGGCCCGCCGUUGAAACUGGCAGUCUCGAGUUGGAGAGAGGUAUGCGGAAUGCGCGGUGUAGCGGUGAAAUGCAUAGAUAUCGCGCAGAACUCCGAUUGCGAAGGCAGCAUGCCGGCUCCACACUGACGCUGAGGCACGAAAGCGUGGGUAUCGAACAGGAUUAGAUACCCGGGUAGUC
rnacentral:rRNA from 1 species